CCUGCACCCCCAGAAACCCAGGAAGUCUAUCCCACCACCACUAGUCUCCGACAAAUCCUGUCCGUCCUCUGCGUCGUCCGGUGACACCGGAAACCACCUCACGCGCCGAUCUCAUCACUACCCAGAAAUUGUCUUGGCACCCAUUGCUCGGCCAUGGACGCUCCUCCUCUUCUUUUUCUCGUUGUUUCCUCCUCUUUUCCUCGCUCCUGCAGAAGUCCCCGAUUCUCGAAACUAAGAUGCUUCUCCGUUUGCUUCUGGGUCGAGCUUGCACUCGUGCAGAUUGGAUUUUCAAGGUGGCGGCAGCGGGGGGCUCUGGGCGCGGUCAACCUGGUUUGGGAUAGGAUUUCGGAUCCUGCAUCUCAGUGCUAGCUAGCUCCUCUGCUGGCCAAUGGCAGUGACCAGUGGCUGUGCGGUUCUUUGCGGCGGUCUGGGUUCGGGCGCGAUCUUUGCAGUCGUGGGAUUUUACUGGGACUUUAGUCGGGCUAGGCGGAUACUGUGUCCUGGGCGGGUUGAGCUAGGCGUUAAGCAUUAGGCGAAAUCCAAAUCGACACUAAGUUUAGUCGUUAGAGUUGUGCAGUGACUGCAGUCACCGUCUUUCCUCUCUCUCUCUGUCUCUCUCUCUCUCUGGCACGGCUGCGUGGCCUCCUUUCCUCUCCAGCCUCUCCUCGACGGUGACGCCGUGACGGACUGAUGGUGGGUACUUGCCUAAUUGUCGAAGUCUCGAACUGGUCAUUGUUCUUGGUUGCUCUCUUCCACAUUCUGGGUUCGAUUCUUCAGUUGAAGUCUUGCUUGAAACUGUUGGAUGACUUGGAACGUGGCAACAAAUAAUCCAAGCAUUGGUCUAUCAGUGUACCUGUUAUUCUGUUUUGAACUUGUAGACUUUUUGGGCAUUUGGCAUCUGUUUUUCCAAUUUUGAAAUUGUAUCUGAUAAUGAUAGGAAAUUAGGAAUCAUAGGAUUGAUAGCUAUUGAUAUUGACUGAU